UACGUAGGCAGCGAGCGUUGUUCGGAGUUACUGGGCGUAAAGGGUGUGUAGGCGGUUCUUUAAGUUUAGUGUGAAAUCUCCUCGCUCAACGGGGAGAGGCCAUUGGAAACGGUCGAGCUGGAGGGCAGUAGAGGUAGGCGGAAUUCCGGGUGGAGUGGUGAAAUGCGUAGAGAUCCGGAGGAACACCAGAGGCGAAGGCGGCCUACUGGGCUGCACCUGACGCUGAGCCGCGAAAGCCAGGGGAGCGAACGGG
rnacentral:rRNA from 1 species